GGCAAAAAAAUAUAUUUUUUGGUGUGUCUGAGAAUUUUAGUCAUUCGUUUUUGCGUGCCAUGAGAUGGAAAAGGUUGAAAGUCACUGCCCUAAAGCCUGAAGAGCGCCAUCACCCCACCGGGUUCCACAGCCAGCAGCUGGACCCUGAGGACAAGGAUGACUCCUCCUGCCUCAGAGCCAUUGUUCUUUUAGAUAAAUGCAAAAAUGUCCUUGGCUGAGGAUUUUUAAAAAUAAAUAAAUAAAAUAAAUCGCCCAAUGGAUCAUUCAAGGUUUUGCAAAUGGACUUUAUUCAUCUACCCCCGUCUCAUGGAUAGAGAAAUCAAUGGGAAAAAAAAUAUCCUUGGGUGAAGAUUAACUAAAAAAUAAAUAAAAUGACCAUUUUACCAGCAAAAAAUGAGUAUUUCAGAAUGGCAGCGGCAUUGCAGUUUUGAGCUUGUGAACUGGUGAA